rnacentral:rRNA from 1 species
UACGAAGGGGGCUAGCGUUGCUCGGAAUUACUGGGCGUAAAGCGCACGUAGGCGGAUUGUUAAGUCGGGGGUGAAAUCCUGGAGCUCAACUCCAGAACUGCCUUCGAUACUGGCGAUCUCGAGUUCGGGAGAGGUGAGUGGAACUGCGAGUGUAGAGGUGAAAUUCGUAGAUAUUCGCAAGAACACCAGUGGCGAAGGCGGCUGCACUG